rnacentral:rRNA from 1 species
GUACGGGAGGCAGCAGUAAGGGAUAUUGCACAAUGGACGCAAGUCUGAUGCAGCAACGCCGCGUGCCCGAUGAAGGCCUUCGGGUCGUAAAGGGCUUUUCUGGCUGACGAGGAAGGACGGUAAGCCAGGAAUAAGUGUCGGCUAACUACGUGCCAGCAGCCGCGGUAAAACGUAGGACGCAAGCGUUAUCCGGAGUUACUGGGCGUAAAGCGCGGGCAGGCGGCUUGUCAAGUGGGGUGUGAAAUCUCCCGGCUUAACCGGGAGGGGCCAUUCCAAACUGACAGGCUGGAGGGCAGUAGAGGUAGGCGGAAUUCCGGGUGGAGUGGUGAAAUGCGUAGAGAUCCGGAGGAACACCAGAGGCGAAAGCGGCCUACUGGGCUGCACCUGACGCUGAGCCGCGAAAGCCAGGGGAGCGAACGGGAUUAGAUACCCUGGU